UACACUUAGCAGCACCAUAGUAAAAUAGGAAUAAUGCAGAGAUUAGUAUGGGCCCUAUGCAAUGAUGACAUGAAAAUUCAUGAAUCAUUCCGUGUAUUU
ensembl:snRNA U6 U6 spliceosomal RNA